rnacentral:rRNA from 1 species
GAUGAACGCUGGCGGCGUGCUUAACACAUGCAAGUCGAACGAAGAAGCCCAGCUUGCUGGGUGGUGUCGUGGCGAACGGGUGAGUAACACGUGAGUAACUUGCCCUUCACUCUGGGUUAAGCCACUGCGACUAGCUGUAGUACAUACCAGAAGCGUUCACCGCAUGGUUGGUGCUGGAGAGAUUUAUCGGUUUUAGAUGGACUCUCGGCCUAUCAGCUAGUCAGUGAAGGAUUGGCUGACUAAGGCAGCGCCGGGUAGCCGACCCGAGAGCGUGACCAGGCACACUGCGACUGAGACACGGCGCAGAAGCCUACGGGACGCAGCAGUCGGGAAUAUUGCAGAACGGGGGCAAGCCUGAGGCAGCGACGCCGCGUGCGGGAUGACGUCCUUCGGGUUGUAAACCUCUUUCUGUAGGGAAGAAGCGAUAGUGACGGUACCUGAAGAAGAAGCACCGGCUAACUACGUG